UUCUGGGAACUUGAGGUCACUGAUUGCAACACGCUCUUCUUACACCCGUGUUCAAGAACCUGACUCACAGAAGACUUCCUCUGUCUCUGUCAGAUUUCAGGCAUCAAACAGGUAACCCCUUAAAUGCCUAAGGCUUGAGCCUGCAGAAUUCCUGCUGAGGAGAUGAAGGCACUUAACUGUUGAGAAUAUUGGAAAUCCUGGGCAAACAUUCAGGUCACUAGGAGACUCGCAGAACCCAAAUGGCAAUGCUGGCGUUGGCAUCAUGGAGUCCAUUUUUACAUCAGCAUGAACUGUUCAGUGCAAUUCUGCUGGGAUCAGCCCUUACAGCACAGUCCUGGAAGAACCAUUAUGUGUGGGUGCUGUACCACAUUCUCUGGGGUUCACACAAAUUUUUGUGAAGCUAUGCUGUCUGCACUUAAAGUCAUCUUCGACUCCCGGACAAGCCAGCUGCCGUGUUAGGAGCUGGCGUGCGGGGAAGCCUGUGCAGCCAGUGUGGUCUCCAGCACACAGCCAGCAAGGGACUGAAUCCUGCCGACAGCCGCCUGAGUGAGCAUGGAAGCAGAUCUCCUAGGCAAGCCCUCUGCAGCCCUGGCCAGCACCUUUGUCACAGCCCUGUGAGACCCAGAGUGACAAGACCCAGUCCAGCCACACCCAGAUCCUGACCUACAGUCAUGGGAGAAGAUGUAGCCAUUUUUCUCCUGAACUCACCACAAUUGGAGUAUCUGUAGAUGAGGAAGGCUGCGAGGAGGAAGAGUAAGGUGAAGAUGAUGAUGAGGAUGAUUUCAGUGGUCCCUGGAGAGGAGAGCAGGUAAGAGGGCCAGUUGGUUUCCCAAGACUUGUUCUGAUGCCUACAUGUCUACCACUGAUUGGGUUCCUGUGACAUGCUGGAGACAAACUACAUCUCUCUCCUACUUACAAGUGUCCCGGAAGAGACU